UUCAAUCUUAUUAUUUCAUCCAGGUCCAUGUGAUAAUCUUACAAUAUAUAUGCAACACAGAGCUUUUACAACUUAAAGCAAAUAACUCUUUAUGAACGGAUGAUUUGUAAGUAUAACAAACAAACACCUUUCAAUCUUAUUAUUUCAUCCAGGUUCAUAUAAUCUCACAAUAUAUAUGGAACUAAAAGCCUAAAUAAAUGGCACAUAUAUUCAGAAGCAACCAAUCCAUUGGCAAAAUGCUAGUAAUUCAUAAAGACGCGGCCAUCUCACUCCCCUUCGCUCAGGAUUGGAACAAUUAGUGGAUUCAUCUGUGCAAGGUAGACAAUCGCCCACCUAGAAGACCAAAUAGGUGAUCAGACUUGCUCUAUUAAUAUUAUAUAUAACAGGAUUACAUAAAAUUGACAAAACUGAUUUUCCUAACUUCACAUACAAGUAAAUGUGGCAAUAACAAGCUAAACCAAUGACUGGUGGUACGGAGCUGUAAUAUAAGUUACUUACGUAUGCAUGUAUCCUGUGAAAACAUACUACCUUCAAUUUAACAAUAUCAAAACUAAUGUCAAGAGAAUUAUAUAGUUCAGCCUAGUAACAACAUCGGUUCGACAAGAAAUUUACUUUUUGAUGAUGGAGAACUUCAUUAUCAGCUCACCUCGGUGCAAACUACAGUGUAUACAGUAAUGCAAUGGGGAAGACAAAAACUACCUCCCGCGUAGGAAGGAAUAGGAUAAUUUGUCCCAAGUCAAAAUGAUGCAGCACAAAAACAAAAAAUUGGAUGAGUACACUGACUUUGUGAGGUUUGGAUGAGUAUAUGUAGAGAAUGGAGCUCCCAUUAUAAUUGGAGAAGAUAAUAUACUUAGUUAUAACAUGCAUAAACCAUAUGAGAUAUCGAGCUUCAAGAUAGGUUAAAGUGCUGGACUGUGCAUGAGCUUAACUGGUUUUAGACAUAUUAAAGAAGAUAAAAAGACAGAUCAACAAUUAACUUAUAAUAUCUAAAGUUGCUUGGCUGGUCACUGCAGACCGGCUAUUUUGUAGAACUGCUAAACCCAUUAUUCCUGGACAUAUAUAUAUAUAUAUAUAUCCACAGUCCACGCCCAUAAACUGUAUAGUUUUUUCUUCAUUAAUUUUAAAAUUUCACAGCGACUAAAAUAUAUACCUAUGGAGAACUAAUAAUUACCAAACUUCAUAAUUCUCUUCCGUGAUGACUGUCUAACAUAUAAAGCAUGUGUGUCCAACAGAACUAAUGUGAUAAAGCUUGUAGCGGUAUUAAACAGCACAAACUUGUAGACAGAACAAUAACACGCCUCUUUGUUAUAUAGUUUUAAUCACUAGUACAUUCUUUUUUAGUUGAGAAUGAAAGGAACAAAGAUAAAAAAGCAUCCAGCUGAGCCCGUCAUAAUUUGAGAAAACUACAUCAAACCAAGCAUACCAGAACUGCGGAGCAGGGGGGGUCUAGCUGGGACAGUGUAAUAAGAAAACUAAUAUGUGUGCAGACCUUAGUCACCUUACCUCUAGAGAAAAAGUAGAGAGGUGUUUCUGCAACACAGCUCAGAAAUAACAAAAGCAGUGCCAGAAUUCGCAGUGAAACACAUUUUCAUAGAAAAAGAUGUUAUUCGCCCGAGGCAGGAUUUAAUCAUGUAAGAGAUGUUGUGUAUAUCCAACUUCCUAGCCAUAGUAAAUAAGUACUUAAAAAUACUUACAUCAUCCAGCAGCAAACUGUUGCAGUCAUUACCAAUGUCAAGUGGAGCCUGCAAAUGCUCUAACGGUUAGCAGAGUGGGUAUAAGCGGAAAUUAGAGAAAGGUAACACAUCAGCUUACAGUCAAAAAGGAUAGAAAAAAAAUCUAUCAAGAUAGGGUUUCGUAAUACAUCAAAACAUUUGUUUAAUGUCAUGUUUCUUUAGAGCAUUUCAUAAUUUAUGCAUGCAUGAUGCUUAUACCUUUACGAUAAGAUUGCCACUCGGCUUUGUGAAGAUCACACAUUAGUUAGAGGCUCAAUCAUUUUCUUUAUUAGUUUGUAAAUUCGUACAUGUCAUAUCCACUUCUGGUACUACAUAAACAAUAAUGUAUCCCGCAAUGUUGGCUUAGGUAUACUUGAAAACAGAAGGCCGCGUCCUCAAUUCAGAUGUGUUCAAAAAAGGAAUUUUUGUAACUUAAUAUCGACACAAAGACUAUUCCUGAAUUCUGAAGAACUAUAAUAAGGUUCAGGUAUAACUAAGGGAGCGUUUGGUUCAUAGUUAAUGAGACCUUAAACCCAUGUGUUGGUGUUUGCCUGUUUGGAUUAGCAAUAUUGUUGCAUGGAAUGGGAAACUCAAUCCCACUUGGAGGGUAAUCAUUCCUUACACACCCCUUGGGAUAUCCAUUCCCAUUCCCAAUUCCCCCACACACAAUCCAAACGCCCCCUAAUUGAUAUUUAAAAGCUACUAAAACCAGAAUGUCCAAGUAAGUUUUCAGCUAUAUUAGCAUCCAAAUUUUAAGAAACUUAUCUACUUCAAAGUCAAUUGACGGCAUAUUCACCUUUAAAAUUUUAGCCUAUCAGUAGGCUAGCUGUUUUUUCUUAGCAUCUGCAGUUGUAUGCCGUGUUUCCAACUAAACAACUACAAGAUGCUCUUAAGCAAAAUAACAUUCUUGUUCUAAAAUUGCGAUGCCAAAGGUAUCAACAUUCCAACUGCUCAAAUCAAGUAUACUUGUAUUGUUUCUAUCCAAUACUCAAAAUCCCAAAAGCUAAAAUCUUCACCUAUCCAUCAAUUUAUAAUUACAGAUUCACUAAAUGCAAUAUCAUCUCCCCCAAUCAUCCAAACCAAAGCUUUCUUGAAAUUUUAAAUAGAUGACUGCAAUACAUAUACUAAUACAUAUAACCACAAACAGAAAUGCAUGGUAUUGCUAAACAAGAUCAUAACUUUAUCCAAUAUAAUGAUACCCAAUUCAAAGAAAACACAACCAAACAAUCAAAUUCCAACAAUUGUGUGAAAAAAUCUGAUAAUGAUUUUUGAUCAAAUCAAGAAUAUAUGAAGUUUAUUUAGGGAAAAGAGUGCAUACAGAUUAGCAGAAGGGCCUUUGUUAUAGCAGAUUCUGGUAGAAAGACUAGCAACUAGGCCCACCAAAGCAAAGAUGAGGGUCGUGACAGAGAAACCCAUCUUCCAAUUCAAUCAAUCAAGUCUGAUCCAA
rnacentral:lncRNA from 1 species